rnacentral:rRNA from 1 species
CAUGCAGUCGAGCGGCAAGGGCCUUCGGGCCCCUAGAGCGGCGGACGGGUGAGUAACACGUGGACAAUCUGCCCCCCGGUCCGGGAUAGCCCAGGGAAACCUGGAUUAAUACCGGAUGAGACGGGACCCGCGGAGGCGGGAUCCGGGAAAGGCGCUGCGGCGCCGCCGGGGGAUGAGUCUGCGUCCCAUUAGCUAGACGGCGGGGUAACGGCCCACCGUGGCGACGAUGGGUAGCCGGCCUGAGAGGGUGGACGGCCACAUUGGAACUGAGACACGGUCCAGACUCCUACGGGAGGCAGCAGCUAAGAAUCUUCCGCAAUGGGCGAAAGCCUGACGGAGCGACGCCGCGUGAACGAAGAAGGCCGUGAGGUUGUAAAGUUCUUUUCGGGAGGGGGAACAACCGUGGCAGGGAAUGGCCGCGGGAUGACGUGAAUCCCGGAAUAAGCCCCGGCUAACUACGUGCCAGCAGCCGCGGUAACACGUAGGGGGCGAGCGUUGUUCGGAAUCAUUGGGCGUAAAGGGCGUGCAGGCGGUCCUGCAAGUCCGGCGUGAAAGACCCCGGCCCAACCGGGGGGACGCGCUGGAAACUGCAGGGCUUGAGUA